GUGGGGAAUAUUGGACAAUGGGCGCAAGCCUGAUCCAGCCAUGCCGCGUGAGUGAUGAAGGCCCUAGGGUUGUAAAGCUCUUUCACCGGAGAAGAUAAUGACGGUAUCCGGAGAAGAAGCCCCGGCUAACUUCGUGCCAGCAGCCGCGGUAAUACGAAGGGGGCUAGCGUUGUUCGGAAUUACUGGGCGUAAAGCGCACGUAGGCGGACAUUUAAGUCAGGGGUGAAAUCCCGGAGCGCAACUCCGGAACUGCCUUUGAUACUGGGUGUCUGGAGUAUGGAAGAGGUGAGUGGAAUUCCGAGUGUAGAGGUGAAAUUCGUGGAUAUUCGGGGGAACACCAGUGGCGAAGGCGGCUCACUGGUCCAUUACUGACGCUGAGGUGCGAAAGCGUGGGGAGCAAACAGGAUUAGAAACCCGGGUAGUCC
rnacentral:rRNA from 1 species